AUUGAACGCUGGCGGCAGGCCUAACACAUGCAAGUCGAGCGAGCGGCGGACGGGUGAGUAAUGUCUGGGAAACUGCCUGUCGUAGGGGGAUAACAACUGGAAACGGUAGCUAAUACCGCAUACCAUCUGAUGUGCUCAGAUGGGAUUAGCUAGUAGGUGGGGUAACGGCUCACAUAGGCGAUGAUCCCUAGCUGGUCUGAGCGGAUGACCAGCCACACUGGAACUGAGACACGGUCCCGGCUCCUACGGGAGGCAGCAGUGGGGAAUAUUGCACAAUGGGCGCAAGCCUGAUGCAGCCAGGCCGCGUGUGUGAAGAAGGCCUUCGGGUUGUAAAGCACUUUCAGCGGGGAGGCGUUACCCGCAGAAGAAGCACCGGCUAACUCCGUGCCAGCAGCCGCGGUAAUUC
rnacentral:rRNA from 1 species